AUUUAUAUAGUUUAUAUAAAACAUUAUAUUUUCAUUAUAAAAAAAGAUAAAAUCUUAUAAAUA
rnacentral:tRNA from 1 species